AAUUUUUGGAUAACUAGCUAAUUUUUCUAAAUUGUGUUUGUACUUUUACAAAAAAAUGUCUUGCAAAAUGAGUGUUGUGUGUGCUAUGUACGGUUGUAACAAUUAUAAACAGCAAAAAGAGUACAUAAAUCAUUUUUUAGAUUGCCAAAAGAUAAAAAUGUAUAUGACAAACAUCUACAAGAUGGAAUCCUGCGUUCUUAAAGAAAAAAGCUAGUUCCAGAAGUAAGCUACCAAUAAUAAACUAGAGAAUGUAUUACAA
rnacentral:lncRNA from 1 species